UUUAAACUGGCGAGUUUGAUCCUGGCUCAGAGCGAACGCUGGCGGCGUGCCUAAGACAUGCAAGUCGUACGAGAAAUCCUGGGCAACCGGGAGAGUAAAGUGGCGCACGGGUGAGUAACGCGUGGGUAACCUGCCCCUGAGUUGGGGAUAACCUCGCGAAAGCGGGGCUAAUACCGAAUAAUGUUACAAUCCCUACGGGGGUUGUAAUCAAAGGUGGCCUCUGCAUGCAAGCUACUGCUCAGG
rnacentral:rRNA from 1 species